GUCUCAUCCCGUGCCUCUGCCGGCAGAACCACGGCCGCCUCUCAGCCCCGCCCCGCGCUUCCCACCCACGCGUCUCCCAAUGGUUCCUCUCUCCCCACCCCGACGACCUCGCCUUUGCUCCGCCACGCCGCCCUCCCGUCGCGCCGGACUCCAACUCGCUCCGCCCUCCCCGCCGGCCCGCCUGCCUUCCUGAGACGGCCCGCAGUCCCACACAAGAACACCCCACCGCCUCAGCUCCCAAUCCGAAGCCUCCCUACACCGCCGCCACCAACCUCUAGGCUCGCGCAGGCCAAGUGGGGAGCAGAGCAAGGUGGGCGCGUAGCAGCGGCGGUCCUCCUGCUCGCCGUCGUCGCGCCGAACUCCCCGUUCGCCCGAGCUGCUCGUCCCCGCAACGCUGACAUUGCGACGCCGCCCUCCCCAUCGCGCCGCCGCUGCGCGCAGCCGCGCCGUCGCCUUAGCAUGCCCGUCCCCCCCCGCGCCGCCGCCGUCAUGAUGUCCAGCCGUCCCCGACCUAUCGCGCUACCGCUACACCGUUAUCCCACCGACCCACACCGACUGUCGUUUCCUCUCCCGAUCACGGCCUCCCCCACCCGUCAUCGUCGACGCGCGACGCUGUGGCCGCGGAUCUCCGCGCGCGGAGGCGGCAGCGCGGCGCCUCCAGCCUCCCCCACCACGAAUCCCAACUCCCGCUGCCCCGCCAUGAAUCCGCCGCCCUGCCCCGGUUCUGUGAAUCCCUCCUGUUCCCCUGCCUGCUCGCCCUGCUGCUCCUCCGCACCGUGCUUGACCCGGACCCCGACGCGGCCGCGCUGUUCCCCCUCCGUUUCCGGCAUGAGGGCACCUCAAGCUCCUCCAGGUGGCGGACAUGCUCUUCGGGAAUGGCGUCGCAACAUGCUGCCGACGUGGCGCCGGACGGCGGCGGCACGCACUGCUCGAACCUCAACACCACGCAGUUUCUGCGCUAGGUCAUCGAGGCGAAGAGGUCCGACCUCAUCGCCUUCACAAGUGCGGCUCUGUUUCCUCCUCCUCCUCCUCAAGAGCUGCACCUCAUCCUCCUCAGAGCUGCAGCUGUUGUGCUCCAAAGCUUGCAACCUUGGCCAAGUAGCUGAGCUAGCCUUGCCACGCUCAGCUCACCUCGCUAGGUUGCACACAGUAGGAUUGCAGGCGACGCGGAGGAACUCGAUUUGAGCAGCGCUGACCUCGUGAGUGGAUCGGAGGAGCCGAGUUUGGCCAUCGCCGAGCUUGAUUAUGCUUGGAGGAGCUCAAUUUGGUGGUUGUCGAGCUCAACUCUGCACAGCGGAACUCGAUUUCAUGGUCCUCGAGCUCGGUCAAAUUGUGAGCUUGCUCCUGUGGGCGAGAUUGCAAGCAGAAUAUGUUCCGUUUCCGCCCAAUCUCAUGUAGAUGCAGUCAUGGCUGUUGGUACUGCCCAUAUAUAGUAGUGGCAAUAUAUAACAAUCAGUUAACACAGAUGGGGAUGUCAAAGUGGCAUGGAGCAGCUUCAGUGGCGCAAGACCAUCCUCAUGGCUGCACAUAGCAGCGGUGGAGCCGGGCCAUCAUCAAGGCGGCGCUUAGCAGUCACCGCUAUGGAUCCGGGCUGUCAUCAAGGCUGCACUGGGGAGCCGCAGCAGCGGCUCUGAGCCAUCGCCCAAUAGCAAGCACAAGCAGCUCUCCAGCAGCAAGCUGCAACCUGCGAGCAUAAGCAGAGCUAUUGCAAUGGCGUUGUACACAGACGUAGCAUGAAGGUGGAUAAGGAGAUGAAGGUGAAGCAGAUGGGGAAGGGGCAUGUGCCAAUAGCACAUCAGACUUGUGCCUAAAGGAUAGCAGUGCCUAAAUUAUAUCAGUGGUUGCAAGAUUGAUCAGCUGCGUGCAAGUAAAGAGAAGUCUGUUGCAUUUGGUACUCAUAAUUCUCUAACAUGUAGUGAUGAGGAUUUUCCUUUAAAUUCCAUAACUGUGGUUAGCUAUUUCUGUUUUCCAGCUGCAGAAGCAUGCUUUCAUAUAGAUAAUUAACUGAGAAUGUACCAAGAAGUGCACAUAGGUAAUUUGGUCCUAUAUGAGCUUAUAUGCAGAUCGAUGCUCCAUUAUUUCACUAAAAACAUUAUUUUAUGGUCUCAUAUUCCUAACAUCUGGAAAGUUGUACAAUGCGUCUUCAGAGCACUUCCAUUUCAAUGUAUUCUUUUUUACCCUUGUGUGUACAUGAUAUAGUUAUUUGUCAGAAAGAAGUGCAUGAAACGAAUUUGAUCUAAUUGCUAGAAGUCAACAAAAUUUGAAUGAUUGUAGCCUGAUCCUUCAACUUUCGGAGCACUAGCUUUUCAGAGAAAUCUGGGACCAUGGUAUGAAUAAACUACAUGGCAACACUAGCCUACAUGAACUUAUCUGAAUAUGUUUUAACUUCAAAAUUGAUUAUAUAAAAUGAUUCUUUAGGAUAGAUGUAGUAGAUUACUUCUCCUACAAGUUACAAGAUCCUAUUUUUUCAGGAUGAUAAUCAAAUGGAUGAUUGGUCAAGUCAAGAUUUUUGCUUGGAAAGUCGAACAAUAGUUUACCAACAAACACUAACAAAUGCUACUGUCACAUUUAGCAGUACAGCUUGUGCGGGUUAUGCGGUUAUCCAGUAGAGGAUUGUUUUCAUGCCUGCAUUAGCUGUCUGCAUGCCACAGCCCUUUGUUAUGCUACAAGGAACACUGGUUAUUACCAAGUAGGAGGAUAUGGUUCAU